CCUAAUCCUCUCCGUGUGCCCCUCCCCUUCUACCUACCAUACACACACACACACACAUAUAUAUACGACCAAACCAGCCUCGGGACACUACGAGUCUCUUCGAACUUCAGUGAACACUUACAGUUCAUAGCUCAGCACUAUUGUCAAAAUGAAAGUGAUAUCUCUCUUCCUGGCUAUGGCUGUAGCUCUUGCUGCCCUGAUGGGAUCUGCCGAGGGCCAUCCAGACCCAUGGCCAUUGGCUGACCCCGACCCAGAGGCCUUGGCCAACCCCAACCCUUUAUUUUUCUUGCGCAGGCGCAACCGCAACCGCCGCAAGCAGAACCGCCCUUACUCGUACCAAAUCAGAUACUGGUAGACACCUUAUGUCCCUAUCUGCUAUCGUCUGGCCUCCGACAUUAAGAAACUACCAUUGAUGUGAAUAGUCUUGGCACGUUGUUGCGAGGGUCAAACUUUGUGACCAUACCAAAAAAUAUAUUGUAUAUACUUAAGAUUAUUUUUUCUCCUUUACUUAAUAAAUUGCAAACGAAAAAAGAGCAACAAAAUCGUAUAUUAUCACCUUGAUAGAACAUGAACUUUCCUUGGUGAAACUGCAAAUUGUAUCCAAUCAAAGGAUGAAAUACUAUUAUUUGAAAUAAAUAUGUAUGUGUAGAGGCUUAGCUCUCAAGAAAAGAAAAAAAAUUAUUAUGAUGUGAAAAGCAAAGAAACGACGUGCCUUCCCUUCAAGGCUGCCGUGCCCAGUAUGAACUAUGUUGUGCACUGACUUCUGGUUCACAUCUAUGAAACCCAGUUCGAAUAAUCAACGAUUAUAUGAACGAAUCGGUAAGUGUAAACUCACUGUUUCGUCUCUUCUUGCCAAUGUCGGAGGUUGAAGGCCGUCCUCACUCUGUACCCACCUAGGCUGCCUCAGGUUUCUUUGAAUUGACCCUAGUAUUGCAGAGCGAGGCAGUAAGGCAUUGAUAUUCUCAUCCGUAAGAGUUGAAUCUCUUCGCACGGAUCUGCUUCGGUGACAGCCUCCCUCUUCCUUCAUCAUAUACAUAAUUUUGCAGUCACUACAACAUAUUUUUCUUAUAAAUAUUUCGAUAACAGUGUUGAGGAAGAAGGCGGGAGGAAUAGAUCGUUUGUUUUAUUGCAUUAUUUUCCUAGCAUAUGUUCCAUCUUUACAAGACUAUAGCCAGACUAAGGCGCAUUGUGGCCACAACAAAGGCCAAAUCGUUUCGAGCAAAGCACUGUAGUAAUGGUAGAAUAGUCUGUGCAUAGAUUCAACCUGUGCCUCAAUAAGAAAAAACUUAUUAAAUUAUUCUAUUGCAUUCA